UUAGUUCUGGGCUGUUUUAGGCAAAAGACAGACAGAGAGGAGGGUCGGUGGUAAGGGAAGGUGGUGGUGGGGGGGCAUUGAGGCAGUUGGUUAAACCAAAAAAAGAGAGAGAGAAAAAAAUCACUGCAACGAUGCAACGGAGGCGACUCGAAGCCCUUGCACGGAGUUGGAGAGGCAAAAUUAUUGUACAUUGCAUGCACUCCACGUAACGCUCCUGAGCGAUGCCUUUGUGAGUGUUUUUUUCUUACUGCGAGCUAAAAAUAGCAUCAGUGUUUGAUCGCGCUCCAGAAAUAGGCAGAGGGGGUAACACUUGUAUAAAAAGGACUGCAAUUCUGAGAAACCUUGGACGUGUUGCUGAGCCAGGGCUCUCUGCACCGGUGGACAAAACAAUGAGAAGUUUCUUCACUGCCUUCUUCAGAUGCUGCCAGAUCUUCUCAGGCCAUCCGACACCUCACUUGUGCUCCUUCAUCCACAUUAUUCUCACCUGCCUCUACUGGAUCUGUAAUAAAAACAGAAUGGACGUUACACUCGUCUUAGCCUGGAGGUAUUGAAAAGGAGCUUGAAAAGAAGAGUGCAUCUUCAACACUGAGAUUAGUGUGAUUCUGUGCUGGAUGAGCAGACCUUGGAGCCUGAGGAGCCACCUGUUUUCUGCUUCUGUCUCCGCAUAAUGGCCAAUGGACAGUACAGUACAGACAAGGACAAUGGACUCUUUAUUAUAUUGAUAUUUGUGAGUGAGAAGAGGCCCAGACCAGAGCAGGACGGAUGCAGUACCAUGCCGUGUUUCUGCAGGGAGGAGAGAAGAGAGGGACGGAGGAUAAGGGCGUGUGCUGAGAUCCAGAAUAAAAUGGAUGAAUCAGUUAUCACAACAAACUGGUAUAAAAUUAGAAAAAAAGUACACAAGAAGUUGGAUCCCUCCUGAUCAAUCCACUGGUUUUUGUUGCUUGCCUGUAAAGGAUAUUUCACCUGCUUAUUCAAGGAGAAGAUGAUACAGUAAGGUAUUUAAACAUCCGUUGUUUUAAGGCAUUUAAACGUCCGUUGUUUUGUGUUUAGGGUGCAGGGGCGCAGUGCUUGAGUUUUUUCCAGGAAACUCUCGUUUCACAUGAGGUUGAUAAAGUUUUCUUGUGAUUUCAGAUCAGGGUGAAUAGCAGGAACAGCUCACUGGUCUGUAAGAAAUAAAUUCAUAAAGGCUCUUAGGACUAUUUACAAGUAUUUUCUGGGCAUUGUCUUCUGUAGUUGUGAUGUGACAGCUGACGCGCUGUAAACUUAUUACAUCAAUCUGUCACUAAGCUGUGUUGUAACUCCAGACUGCGAGAGCAGCUCUGUUACAGCUGUGCUGUAGAAUAUUAUUAUAAUUUUAGAAUUGUGGUAUAUAUAGCUAGCAGGAGGUUUUGUAGCUUUUCUGACCAUGUGUUUAUAGAGGAGGUGAAAAGAUACGGACAUGCUGACUACCGUGAGCAGGCAUUUCA